AAACCGGGGAGGACCGGCGAUUCUAUCGCGACGAUUUUCCUCUGAUGAGACUCGCGCGGAUGUGAAUGGGGGUGCGAAUGGUGAAUGCUAUGAAAUAGAGACCUGCGCGGGUCUCUGCGUUUAGGAUAUUCGGAGAGAAGACGGAACUUUGGUGGAAAGUUUACAAUUAUUUGAAGUAGUUACGUGCUGUGCGACGAAACCUUAUUAACGUUUAAAAUGUAAAUGUUUAGAAUGCUAUGAAGCGACUAUUUACUGGUAUCUACGUAGGAGGGAGUUGGGGAAGUUGGGAAAAAGGAUCCUCCGGUGGGAAUUUUUGUCGCUAUACGUGAAAUUUUUAUAUCAUAUUUGGACACACACAAUUACAUAAAUAUUAUAUUAUAUAAAUUUCUCUGUGCGAUAGGUACGUACAUGUGGCUGUAUAGGGUGUUUAGAGAGAAAAGGCGACAUUUUAAGGAAAGCGUUAAAAUUCCGCGAAACAGUUAUACACGCGUAGUUACAGAGGGUGUUCAGAUAAACGGACAAAGUAUGAAUUUAGUAUGAAUUUUUAGAAUUGCGCGAAAUAGCUGGAUAUGCAUACGGAUAUGUAUAUAGGAUAUUCAGAAGAAAAAUGAAAUUUCAGUAUGUAUGUAUCUUUACGGUUGUGCGAAGCAGCUACGUAUAGUUAGUUAUAUAGGAUGUCCAAUGAAAAAGAAGAAACUUCAGAGCGUAGAUAAUUUUAUAAAGAAGGUAAAAUUUGAUAUCAGUUUCACCGAAGACAAAUGCUCUCAUCUAGUUAAUUAACAACUUAUGAAAGUACAAUUUUACAAUUUUACACGUGAAAGAGUUAUUCGUUCCGUUCGAGAUUAAUCACGACUCUCGUCCAAAGCUGCAAACAUAAAAAUUCAUUCACCUGGCGUUGAAAAAAUUCAAAUCCUUCCUUUACAAAUACCCUGCCACGCACACACGCCCACAUGCGCACACGCUUCCUUUCAGACCGUGACAAUUCUAUUUCGUCACGCAAAUAGCAAAUAGAGUCGAUUAGAUAUUCGAUUAGACGUAAUUGCGAAAGAGACGAAGGGAAUUGGUAUACGCACGGCGGAAACGUUUCGGUGUUUCACGCUGCCACAAUUUCCCAGUCGCUCGCGACGCAACGGUUCAAACAUUCAGAUAAAUAUCGUGACUGUUGUUUUAUUAACGAGGGGAAAUGAAAAAUCGCAGUCGCAAGCAGGGGGUGAAAUUAUCGAUCGCCGUGCCAUCGAAAGAUUUUCGAUCGUGAUACGCGAAGCUAAGCGAAUGCAGGCUAAUUGCCAGGGACUAAUGAAAAUGUAACAGAGGUAAAAGCAUUAUGGACUAAUUAGGUACAUAUACGGGGUGUCCCGUUUGAUUUUAUCACUUGUAAUCUGUCUCGAUUGUUUCUGAUAAUAUGUGUGUUGAAAAAUGUUUCGGUAGCGAGCUAAAUGGUUUCGAGGGGAACUUAAUUUGUCACGAUUAGUUUUUCUCGUAGGGGAACGCAUAAAGGACGUACGAAAGUCAUCGAUGUAUUUUUAAACGGGAUCAUAUAUUUUUUAAUACGUUAUUCGAUUCAGCUGGACAUUCUCCACAAAUAAAGUAUUUAUCCAAUUCAACGUAUGAAAGACAAAGACAAUGUAAACGUGAGAAUAUCGAUUCGUGUCUUCUACAAAAUUGGACAAAUUAAAGUUAAAAUAUCAGCUAAGCUAAUAGUGUCUCGACAUAAAUAGAUUAACACUUUUCUUUCAUACGAUUCCAUUUAAACAAAUACGAUGAUCUUCGUACGUCAUGUACGUGUUCCCCUACGGAAAAACUAACGACGUCAAAUAAUGUCGCCGUCGAAAACAUUGAACUCUGAUUGUUUUCUAAUAUUAUGAAAAACAAGCGAGAUAUUGCAAGUGAUAAAAAGUUAGGUGGGACACCCUGUAUAGAAUGAAUUCUUCGGCGCGUGUCUAUUAUUUAAUACGUCUGAAGGCUAUGCAUUUAACGAAUGGCACAAUGGUUGUAGUGUAGUUUUUGGCGCGUUUCGAUAAAACGAUUUAGAGUGGAUAACAAAGGAGCGGAUAAUUUAUCGAGACAAAGAUCGUUAUCUGAAACAGAGGCCGAUGGAAAACGAAUGCAAUUUCAAGCUUGGGUAGUAGCGGGUAUUUUAGUAGUAGCGAAUGUGUUAAUGGAAUGACGACAUACGUUCAAAUUAUUAUCGAGGUUUAUUAAUUAUUAUUAUAAGAAAUAUUUGUCUGUUGAUAUUUACUCGUUCUGAACUGUUUACCGUGUGAGCUGAACGAAUUGUUUGACUCGCACAUAAACACACAUUUUCAUUGUUAUCAGAAUUAAGAUGAAUUAGAUGAAAAUCUUGUGGAAAAUAAUGCGAUUUCAGGGGACGAUGAAACACGAUUUCACAAUUAUCGGUAUCGUUAUUACUAUCUAAUACGAAUAUCAGUUUAUUCAGAUUUCUUCGUUAUUGUUACUUAUUCGUUCUAAGUUAUUUAUACGAAGCGAAUCGUUUGACUUGUGUAUAUUUAGUUUUAGUAGACUGCGAUCGCGCGGGCCAAGGCGUUGGCCAAUGACAGUACUGCGGUCACAGAUUUAUAGUUAGAUUUUCGCAUAGGAUCGAACGAACCGGUGAAACGAAACAGUUAACACCGAGAGCGGAAGGAUACAUGUACGAGCCACAGGUAAGCUUUCCAGUGGAAGCCACUAUGGCUGACGCCGAGAGCCAUUGAGGAUAUCGUGGACGUAUCGGUACUUGCCUAAUACUGUCGACCACCAAGGUGAGAGUGCAUUGACAAAUUGACGUGUACUUAGCUAAUGCCGCGUGUUACUAAAGAGAAGCGUGGACGAACCGACGCGACGCGACGCGACGUAUGGCUAUAAUACUGGUUAUUGAGCCAUUGAAGUAAAGGGUGUGGGCCUCGUAACUCGCGAUAUAUCUCGAACCGCAAAGGUAUCAAUGCCAGUUAUCUGCUGAUUAAUUGUCUAAUAACUUCGGGAUGGGUUUUGAAAGGAACGAUGCGAAUUAAUCUGAACGAUGUUACGUAUUUUGCUGGAUUCGUGAUCGGUUAUUUUACUAAAAUUUUCAAGAGCAAGAAUUCUACAACUUUUUUUUAUUUGGAAUUACUGAGAAUUUGAAAUUGAAACUGGAAGCUUCUUCGGGUUUCUUCUACGCAAUUGUUUCUUUUAAUCAAUUGCCUCGCAUCGUCGGACAGGACGUUUUAAUUUCAUAUUAAUUAAUUUUUAGUAAUCGUACGAAGACGUAGCGAUAAAUAUUCAGCAGUCGCGCGAUAAGAUGUUAAAAUUACGACAUUCUUUGGUAUAAUCUUAGUUACCAAAAAUUACAAAGGUUAAGAAGUGCACGAUCUGACGAGCAUUUCUUGCUGGAAUUUAUGCGCGAAUGACGUACGGACGUUCUUCGGAAAUGUACUAAAUAUACAAAUGAUUCGAGGAUGCAUUGGUAGGGAACUUAAAUUUCAUUUUGCACACUGUCAACGUAAUAUUCUGAAUUAAUUUCAGCAGCGAGAAGUUUCAAAAUUUAUCUCCUUAUUUCAUUCGGCGAGAGUGAACCUUUCCCGACAGAUGCGCUAAACUAAUUAAUAUUUGUUUAUUACGAGAUUUCCUGUAUGGAAACAUCGUAUUUAGAGAUACUUCGUAUUUUAUUUUCAAACGUACGGUAGCUUACUAGAAUUGCCAGUGAUCAAAUUGACUACAAUUUAUAACUUUCCAUAGCAAUUUUAUAGAUUUACGAUAGCCGAUACAUUUUUCGAGUUUUGAGCUAUUUCUGUUACGUAUAUGAAAGUAAAACUGUGCUUUUCCUUUG